GGGCUGCGGUAAUUUGACCGUGCUAAGGUAGCAUAAUCAAUAGUCUUUUAAUUGAAGACUGGAAUGAAUGGUGUGACGAAAAGGAAGCUGUUUUAAAAAUAAAAAUUGAAUUUUACUUUUAAGUGAAAAGGCUUAAAUUACAUUAAGGGACGAUAAGACCCUAUAAAACUUAAUAUUAUUUAUUAACUUUUAUUAUAAGGUUGAGAUUUAGUUAAUUUAGUUUUAUUUAGUUGGGGCGACUAAGAUAUAAAAAGUAGCUGUUAAGAAUUAGAAAAAUAAAAUAAUUUGUUAAAAAAACCUUUAUUAAAGAUAAAAAUAAAGUUACUUUAGGGAUAACAGCGUGAUUUUUUCUGAGAGUUCUUAUCGAAGAAAGUAGUUGCGACCUCGAUGUUGAAUUAAAAUUUUUAAUAAGCGCAGCAGUUUAAAUAAUAGGUCUGUUCGACCUUAAAAAUUU
rnacentral:rRNA from 1 species